AGCGUGCCUUCAAGAUGAAACCGCGAAGGAAUGAUCUCCGUGACGAUGGAAGGUCGAUGAGCGUCAUAAAUCUGCUGAAGAAAUAAAUAUAAAAAAAUAUGUGAAAAAUAAGAAACAAAAUUGAGACAGUCCCGUGCACAAGAGCCUGCGUUACGGAAUGAGCAAUUUUUUCUUCGACCAAUACGUUACUACAGUGACCAGAAUUGACACAGUAAAAGAAAUGGACUCGACAAGAGUACCUGAGCCGCAGUAACAGACGGAAUGCCUAUCUCGAGUGGGACUUAAAAGUGGGGAGCAGGGAAGGUGCGAGGCGCCAGACCGGCUUUGACUUCCGCAUUACAGUUAUGUCACGUUAUCCCAGGAAGAUGCUAAGCCUGGCCUGAUGUCAUCGUCUAAUGACAUCAGACAAGUAUCACGCAAGCCAUUCAAGAGAAUUCCUUGCGAAUCGUAGUUACCAACUUCAAGAGGACGAGGAUGAUUUCUUCCUUGUUCUGUUAUUGCUGAUGCUCUUAAGUCACGUCAGGAUCAUCAGCAUGAAGACUGAAUCGCGAACGCAAAAAUGCUAAUGUUUGUGGAAGAGAAUUUUAUUAUCUUUUAUAAGUUUAUUUUCUGAUCUUAUCAUGGAGCGUCAUUUCCAUCGUCACGAUCGUCAUCGUCGACGUUGUCUCUUUUUGAAAUUCUCCGUGAAUUAACGAAACAAAGCAGUAACGAUAAAGCCAAGGGAGUCCGAGUAAAGCGAAGCGUCGGAAAAAACUGUAUACCGUCGAUCGCUCGUGUUACGUCACGCUAGUUAUCGGUCAACUAGGAAAUCAGGGAUCGAACGAUGCUCGAAGAGGAUACAACGGCCUCCAGGAUCCACCGAAGAAAUUGCACUUCGCAUACGAACCACGUAGAUGAUGUGCAGCGGCCUCGCCUAGAUUGCAAGAAAGGAUAGCCACUUGGAUGGCCACUUCUCACUUCCGCUUCUUCUGCCUCUUCAUCAUAAUUUUUCAUCGUGAACUUUCUUCUCCUUUUACUCCUCCACUUCUUCAAUGGCUUCUUCUUGGAUUCACUGCAUCUUCCCAUCUUCACCCUUGUCGUCGUCUUCUUCCUUACAGCAAUAUUCAUUUUAUUCCGUUUCUUGUAUCAACUACGUACAUGUCUCUUUAUAACCAGUGCCCUGGUACCUUGUAGAUACCUACUACGUCCCUUACACAUUUGCAUUGAGUGCAUUCACUGCAUUCGAGCGCAUCCACUAUGACCGCCCGAUCCCACUUGCAUCCAGCCUUUGCCCAAUGCAGUCAGUGCAUCUUCUUACACGACACGCACACGCGGGUGCACUGAAAGAAAUGCGACUUCCGUGCGGGAUAUCUUGACAAUGUCGCCAAGUGUAAAUAGAUACAGUUAAUAUAUAAAAUCAUGAUAUACACAAUUGCACGCAUACGUAAGCGAUAUUGAAAAUUAAAAAAAGCGCACAAAGUAUGUACACGAUAUACGUAUUAUCGCAAACCAUGAAACUACUGAGUAAAUUUCUCGAGCGAUCUCGAGAGUGAAAUUCAAUGAAUGAUGU